AUUGAACGCUGGCGGCAUGCCUUACACAUGCAAGUCGAACGGCAGCACGGGUGCUUGCACCUGGUGGCGAGUGGCGAACGGGUGAGUAAUAUAUCGGAACGUACCUUAUUGUGGGGGAUAACGCAGCGAAAGCUGUGCUAAUACCGCAUAAUCCCUAAGGGGGAAAGCGGGGGACCGUAAGGCCUCGCGCAAUUAGAGCGGCCGAUACCUGAUUAGCUAGUUGGUGAGGUAAAGGCUCACCAAGGCAACGAUCAGUAGCUGGUCUGAGAGGACGAUCAGCCACACUGGGACUGAGACACGGCCCAGACUCCUGCGGGAGGCAGCAGUGGGGAAUUUUGGACAAUGGGGGCAACCCUGAUCCAGCAAUGCCGCGUGAGUGAAGAAGGCCUUCGGGUUGUAAAGCUCUUUUGUCAGGGAAGAAACAGCAGCUCUAACACAGUAUGCGAAUGACGGUACCUGUAGAAUAAGCACCGGCUAACUACGUGCCAGCAGCCGCGGUAA
rnacentral:rRNA from 1 species